GCAUAUCAAUAAGCGGAGGAAAAGAAACUAACAAGGAUUCCCCUAGUAACGGCGAGUGAACCGGGAAAAGCUCAAAUUUGAAAUCUGGCUGUCUUCGAUAGUCCGAGUUGUAAUCUAUAGAAGCGUUUUCCGUGCUGAACUGUGUCUAAGUCCCUUGGAACAGGGUAUCAAAGAGGGUGAUAAUCCCGUACUUGACACAACAAUCAGUGCUCUGUGAUACGUUCUCUACGAGUCGAGUUGUUUGGGAAUGCAGCUCAAAAUGGGUGGUAAAUUCCAUCUAAAGCUAAAUAUUGGCGAGAGACCGAUAGCGAACAAGUACCGUGAGGGAAAGAUGAAAAGCACUUUGGAAAGAGAGUUAAACAGUACGUGAAAUUGUUGAAAGGGAAACGAUUGAAGUCAGUCGUGUUCAUUGGAUUCAGCUAGUUCUUCUAGUCUACUUCCUUUGAACGGGUCAACAUCAGUUUUGUCCGGUGGAUAAAGGAUUUAGGAAUGUAACUCCCUCGGGAGUGUUAUAGCCUAGGUUCACAUACACUGGGUGAGACUGAGGACUGCAGCUCGCCUUUUGGCCGGGGUUCGCCCACGUUCGAGCUUAGGAUGUUGACAUAAUGGCUUUAAACGACCCGUCUUGAAACACGGACC
rnacentral:rRNA from 1 species